GACGAACGCUGGCGGCGUGCCUAAUACAUGCAAGUAGAACGCACAGUUUAUACCGUAGCUUGCUACACCAUAAACUGUGAGUUGCGAACGGGUGAGUAACGCGUAGGUAACCUGCCUGGUAGCGGGGGAUAACUAUUGGAAACGAUAGCUAAUACCGCAUAAUAUUGAUUAUUGCAUGAUAAUUGAUUGAAAGAUGCUAUUGCAUCACUACCAGAUGGACCUGCGUUGUAUUAGCUAGUAGGUGAGGUAACGGCUCACCUAGGCGACGAUACAUAGCCGACCUGAGAGGGUGAUCGGCCACACUGGGACUGGGACACGGCCCAGACUCCUACGGGAGGCAGCAGUAGGGAAUCUUCGGCAAUGGACGAAAGUCUGACCGAGCAACGCCGCGGGAGUGAAGAAGGGUUUCGGAUCGGAAAGCUCUGUUGUAAGAGAAGAACGGGUGUGAGAGUGGAAAGUUCACACUGUGACGGUAUCUUACCAGAAAGGGACGGCUAACUACGUG
rnacentral:rRNA from 1 species